rnacentral:rRNA from 1 species
AUUGAACGCUGGCGGCAGGCCUAACACAUGCAAGUCGAACGAGUGGCGGACGGGUGAGUACUGUCUGGGAAACUGCCCGAUGGCGGGGGAUAACUACUGGAAACGGUAGCUAAUACCGCAUACCAUCGGAGGUGGCUCGAUGGGGUUAGCUAGUAGGUGGGGUAACGGCCCACCUACGCGACGAUCCAUAGCUGGUGUGAGAGGAUGACCAGCCACACUGGAACUGAGACACGGUCCAGACUCCUACGGGAGGCAGCAGUGGGGAAUAUUGCACAAUGGGCGCAAGCCUGAUGCAGCCAUGCCGCGUGUAUGAAGAAGGCCUUCGGGUUGUAAAGUACUUUCAGCGAGGAGGCGUUACUCGCAGAAGAAGCACCGGCUAACUCCGUGCCAGCAGCCGCGGUAAUAC